rnacentral:rRNA from 1 species
AAACAUCGACAUUUCGAACGCACAUUGCGGUCCUCGGAUACUCGUUCCCGGACCACUCCUGGCUGAGGGUCGUAUCAAUUUCAAAGACUGCUCGGUUUUUCUAUUUUCGAAUGGAAAAACGUCGGAGCGUGUUGAAUGUUAACGCGUCGGUAGCAGUUUUCUGUUAUUACGCGACAUUUUAAAAUGCGAAAGCGACGUACCGUCCGUGCGUAAGCGCGAACGUACGUGUUUUGCACGAACACCACUAUAACGCAACAUACCUCGUAAUUUCGGAGUGUGUACGCGCGUAAAUUCUCGUCGCAACGAGAGAAGAAAUUUUCUCGUGCGCACAGCGAGCAAGAUAAUCGCAAGUUAUGCACAUUCUAAAUAAAGCGAGCGCGGUCGUCGUGUCCGAGAAAAUGUUUCAAAGACGACGACGUCUGACCGGCGCUGCUGGAUUUUUUUUUUGGAAUAAUAGCAUAACGAACGCGUGUGUCUGUUACACAGACUUAUCUUCGAGUUCGAUUUUUGGAGAGAG